ensembl:lncRNA
GAUGACAGAAAAAAAGAAGUUAAAAUGUCACUUUUGAUUGGACACAUAAAAGUAAUACAUCACUUGAAUCUGUAAAGGGGCUACUUUUAUUUGUGUAUGCUCAUCAUAUCAGCAAAACCUUGUGCUCUUGUAAAAUAAAGAAAACGAACCGGGUGCUCAUAAAGACAGCCAAUUGUUUCUAAAUGAAUCAGUGUUCUAUAAGUGAAUCAGAUGAAUGAAUGAUUCAAUGAAUCAAUCAUAAAUACAGUCAUUUGUUUAGUUUCUGAACAAUUUUGUGUUUUAAAUGAAUUAUUUUAUGGGUGGGGGCUGCAUCCCCAUAUCCACACUUCCCGACUAUAUAACUUAGCAUACACAAUCAACAUGCAACUGAUGCUGAUAGGCUACAUAAGAAGAACAGCAUGACCAAUGUACACUAGUACAUUCAGAUUUCAUUUAUACCACACACACACACACACACACACACACACACACACACAUCCUAUAUAGAAUAAACUGCAAAUGCAGCCAGUUUUUUUUUUCCGUUUUUUUAUUUUUAUUUAUUAUUUAUUAAUUUAUUUAUUUUUACUGAUAAUCUAGUGCCACACCUCUUGAAACAAAUGUAUACUUCAUUCAGGAUGUGGCAUACAACAUUUAUAUGUAUGCCUCACAAUAAAGCUAUCAUAUAAUUUCAAAAGACUUGAAACAGUGUCUCAGUGACUGCUUUUAGAACACUGCUUUUCAGUUCAUACAGGUUCGGAACAAAAUGAGGUUCCGAUGUUAGAGAGUUGAUUUGUUUGCUGAACUGUUCCUUUAAGUAGAGGGCUGAAUUUUGGUUGACUGGUCAAGUCAUUUAUCCCCUGUGUUCUUCAUGGUUCCAUGGUCUCCUGACAGUGGACAAGUGGCGUCCAGUGGACACCUGCGAGGUCAACCUGAAAAACAUAUGAAUUUGCCGGCAGCUUAUUCAGAGAGAGACAAACUGAGGGAUACAAACAGAUGUUAGUUCUGUUCUCCCAGUAAGUAUGAUAUUUUGAUGGCAGGUAUAUGAUUUACAGAAUAAUUUUACAAAAGGAGUCACUCUAUCAAAUACGAAAAAUGUGGUUCUAGAAAAAAAAAAUGUUUUAGAAAAACAUUAUUUCAGUUAAAUUGAAUUUAUUUCAUUUAUACUGUACUUGUGUAUUUGCAAAGUAAGCUUUAGCAUUAUUCAGUAGCGAGCGAUUGGGGCUCAUAGGGAGUUUUAUGUUACAGUCAUGGCCCUGUCUAAAGGUUGUUUUCACACACAGUUUGAAAUGCUUUCCUUGUAGUUAAUAUUGCAUGUUGUUUGUAAAUCCUCCGCUUCUUUCGCUGAACAGACACUAUCCCUGCCCCACUAAACCAAGCAACCUCCUUUUACAAUGCAACGCUAAAUGAAUAAUAGAUUCAUAGUGAUACAUUGUGGACUCCAGGGCCCAAGGCAUGGAGGUGUUCGGAGGUAAGCGCAUUUAAAUGAAAUAAUAAUUAACUCCAGCUGCAUUGACCAAAUCAGGGGGCAUAUAAUUUCUCAGUGAACUUUAGGAUAUUAAGUUUGUGGAGAACAGUUCCAGAUAUGUGAGGUUGAUGAUUCUGACUGUUUCAAGUGCCGUUUAACAAUUUAAACAGCUUCUGUUAAUAAUUAACAACUAAUAGCAUGCCUAGUCUUUCAGAGUUUUUAUUUUUAAUAAGUAAUGAUUAUGAUUAUAUUACUGGUAUGACCACUGUGAGAGACAGACCAUAUGUGUGGGUUGUUUGCCAUAUUUAGCUUGAAACUGAGCUGUUUUAUGAACAGUUUGGUCUGAAGCUUACUUAUUGUGUGAUUGCAGUUUUCUCUUUCCUUCAGGUAUAAGAACUGACCCAGUUAAAAUGCAUAUUUCAUGUAAAAUACAUUUCAUUUCAUGCUGUUCAUCACAUCUCCUGUCUCUUUUUGAUGGAACAAAAGCUUGUAUAAUAAUG